rnacentral:rRNA from 1 species
UGACAGGGUUACUCUGAGUGAUUCCCGCUAAGGGGAUCUUUUGGCACCUCUAAAAAUGGUGCAGAAUAAGGGGUGGGCAAGUCUGGUGUCAGCCGCCGCGGUAAUACCAGCACCCCGAGUGGUCGGGACGAUUAUUGGGCCUAAAGCAUCCGUAGCCGGUCAUGCAAGUCCUCCGUUAAAUCCACCUGCUCAACAGAUGGGCUGCGGAGGAUACUACAAGGCUAGGAGGCGGAAGAGGCAAGCGGUACUCAGUGGGUAGGGGUAAAAUCCUCUGAUCCAUUGAAGACCACCAGUGGCGAAGGCGGCUUGCCAAUACGCGCUCGACGGUGAGGGAUGAAAGCUGGGGGAGCAAACCGGAUUAGAUACCCGGGUAGUCCCAGCUGUAAACGAUGCAGACUCGGUGAUGGGCCGGCUUUAUGCCGGCUCAGUGCCGCAGGGAAGCCGUUAAGUCUGCCGCCUGGGGAGUACGGUCGCAAGACUGAAACUUAAAGGAAUUGGCGGGGGAGCACCACAAGGGGUGAAGCCUGCGGUUCAAUUGGAGUCAACGCCGGAAAUCUUACCGGGGGCGACAGCAGAGUGAAGGUCAAGCUGAAGACUUUACCAGACAAGCUGAGAGGAGGUGCAUGGCCGUCGCCAGCUCGUGCCGUGAGGUGUCCUGUUAAGUCAGGUAACGAGCGAGAUCCCUGCUUUUAGUUGCUACCACUACUCUCAGGAGGAGUGGGGCUAAUUAAAAGGACUGCCGCCGCUAAGGCGGAGGAAGGAGGGGGCUACGGCAGGUCAGUAUGCCCCGAAACCCUCGGGCCACACGCGGGCUGCAAUGGUAAGUACAAUGGGUUCCGAUUCCGAAAGGAGGAGGCAAUCCCUAAACCUUACCUCAGUUAUGAUUGAGGGCUGAAACUCGCCCUCAUGAAUAUGG